CAGUUCGGUCUCUAUCUAUCGUGGGCGCAGGAAAUUUGCGUGGCUCCGACACUAGUACGAGAGGACCGUGUUGGACUGACCCCUGGUCAACCGGUUGUGCCGCCAGGCGCAUCGCCGGGUAUCCAAGUCGGGAUCGGAUAAGUGCUGAAAGCAUCUAAGCACGAAGCCGGCCACAAGAUUAGAUUUCCUUGAGGGCCGUCGCAGACGACGACGUUGAUAGGAUGCAGGUGUAAAGGCGGCGACGCCAAAGCCGAGCAUUACUAAUUGCCCGAACCUUUUUUGCAG
rnacentral:rRNA from 1 species